rnacentral:ncRNA from 1 species
UUAUUGGCGUUGAAGAAGAGGAGUAGCCCUUGAAGGAGUUUUAGAGAGCCGGUGGCUGGUGGGAACCGGUACGAAUUCUUUGGUGAAUGGACUUCUGAGCUUUCAGGCAGAACAUUUAUUUAGUGGAUUAGUAUGCCCUGAACGGUGGUGGCAGCCGUUAUAUAAUGCCAGACAGUUGAAGCUAGCUGUCUCAAAGUGGAUUGUUCUUUUUGACAAUCAAUUAAGGUGGCACCGCGGGUCUUCCGUCCUUAUC